AUUGAACGCUGGCGGCAUGCCUUACACAUGCAAGUCGAACGGCAGCACGGGGCAACCUGGUGGCGAGUGGCGAACGGGUGAGUAAUGCAUCGGAACGUACCUUUCAGUGGGGGAUAACGUAGCGAAAGUUACGCUAAUACCGCAUAUUCUGUGAGCAGGAAAGCAGGGGAUCGCAAGACCUUGCGCUGAUUGAGCGGCCGAUGUCAGAUUAGCUAGUUGGUGAGGUAAAGGCUCACCAAGGCGACGAUCUGUAGCGGGUCUGAGAGGAUGAUGGGCCACACUGGAACUGAGACACGGUCCAGACUCCUACGGGAGGCAGUAGUGGGGAAUUUUGGACAAUGGGGGCAACCCUGAUCCAGCCAUGCCGCGUGAGUGAAGAAGGCCUUCGGGUUGUAAAGCUCUUUCGGCCGGGAAGAAAUCGCACGGGCUAAUACCCUGUGUGGAUGACGGUACCGGAAUAAGAAGCACCGGCUAACUACGUGCCAGCAGCCGCGGUAAUAC
rnacentral:rRNA from 1 species